AAAAAAUUAGUUAAUUUAUAACAUUAGAAUGUCAACCUGAAAUUAUUUUUAAAAAUAUUUUUUA
rnacentral:tRNA from 1 species